AAUAAUGUAAAACUAAACACCUAAGUACUUUGUAUUUUUACUACACAUAUCAGUCAGGUAAAAGAAAUCUAACAGAAAGUUUUAAAAAAGCAACAAUACUGGGGAACAGGACACAAUUUCAGAAAGAGCAAUGCCUAGGCUUGCCUCAGAAGCAAUGGGAUGCAGGUACACUGAAUAUUGAAUGCUGAUACCAGUACUAUUUAUUUCUGCUUCUCUUGUCUGUUUUUCUCUGUGUGAACUCCAUUCACUUCUAUUUCAAAUCUCCUUUGUCCAUUCUGGUGUUUCUAGGCUUAUAUCUUCAUAGCUUGAAGGCAGUUCAUGACAAGGGUCUACCUUGCUAGUUCUGGUUCCUUGGUAGAAAAAGUCCCUAAGAAAUAUUCCAACGGGAUUAGAAUGAGUGUUUUAUUCCAAGGAGCUACCCUUUAAUGGUAAAACCAGAAAAUAAGUAUAGGAUACUGAAGCUUAGACAACACUAAAAGAAACUGCAUAAAAACGCCAGUUAGCUUAAACAACUUUCACUUAAGUAUUUCUUUCAACAAUCUAGGCAGCCACUGUGAGCAAGCAAGAAAGGAUGAGGGAGGAGGCCAUAUGCCAUUUGCUCAGGAAUUGGCUGGAGUCUCAUUAGGCUGGCCUCUUUCUGUGCUGUGGCAGUGUUUCCCUUCCCAUUACGUUCAGGGUGUGCAAAGCCACAAGCAGCUCUGGAGCAAUGCAGGGGGUUACUGCUCUCCUUAGCCUGGCAGAGAUGGGGCAUGUAUACUAAUUAGGAUCCUGGGAGCUCUUGGAGUGCCUUACAUUCCACUGAUUGGCAGUCACAAACCUCAUCUUUGGAUUGGCCACAACCAAAGAUAACUCUUCGUGCAGAAUGUCCUUCUACUGAAAGCCCAAAUCAGAGACUGGCUCAGAAUCUGUCGUGUUCUGUUGAUAAUGAUGAAAAUAUGAUUCUGCAGCCCUGUUACUUCCCUGGUCCUCUUCUGCUUGUUGGCGUUCUACCACCUUCAAAGGUCACUUUUGCCAUCAUGGCAGAGACUAGACCAGUAUUGGACAGCUGGUGGCCCUGAUCAAAGGAAAAAAAGUAAAAUGGGAGAUAAAUAGGGAAAAAAAAUAAUAGAACAAAAACGAAAGAAUGAAAGAAUUGAAGUAGGAGAACUUUAAGUCUAUGUUUGUUCUGUUCCAUCACAUUGAUUAAUCGAGUUUAAUAAAAUAUACUUAUUAAUUCCAUUGAUAAGUUUUUGUUAACUG
rnacentral:lncRNA from 1 species